rnacentral:misc_RNA from 1 species
AUGCUUGUCGUUUCACUGAAACAGAAAAGCUGAAACAAGAGAGAGUAUUAGGUAGGCCAGUGUUUCCUAAAGCAAUUGGCGAGCUUCAUGGCCACUCUGGUAUAGCAAGAUUGCUCCUUUUCUAUGCCAGAGGAUUAUGUGGGCUUGUUGAUCACACCAAAGGAACUGGAGUGGCUAACGCAGGGCUUGUCUACUUCAAUGACAGGCUUCU